rnacentral:rRNA from 1 species
AGUGAACGCUGGCGGUAGGCCUAACACAUGCAAGUCGAACGGCAGCACAGUAAGAGCUUGCUCUUACGGGUGGCGAGUGGCGGACGGGUGAGGAAUACAUCGGAAUCUACUUUUUCGUGGGGGAUAACGUAGGGAAACUUACGCUAAUACCGCAUACGACCUACGGGUGAAAGCAGGGGAUCUUCGGACCUUGCGCGAUUGAAUGAGCCGAUGUCGGAUUAGCUAGUUGGCGGGGUAAAGGCCCACCAGGGCGACGAUCCGUAGCUGGUCUGAGAGGAUGAUCAGCCACACUGGAACUGAGACACGGUCCAGACUCCUACGGGAGGCAGCAGUGGGGAAUAUUGGACAAUGGGCGCAAGCCUGAUCCAGCCAUACCGCGUGGGUGAAGAAGGCCUGCGGGUUGUAAAGCCCUUUUGUUGGGAAAGAAAAGCAGCAGGUUAAUACCCCGCUGUUCUGACGGUACCCAAAGAAUAAGCACCGGCGAACUUCGU